rnacentral:rRNA from 1 species
GUGAAGUCCUAGGCUCAACCGGAUGCAGUGAUACUGGUCACUAGAGUGUCGUAGAAGAUGACUGAAUUCUGAUGUAGCAGGUGAAUUUGUAGAGAUCUGAGGGAACAUCCGUGUGGAAGGCGGCAUCUUGGGUCUAGCACUGACACUGAGCACGAAAACGUGGGGAGCACACAGGAUUAUAUAUCCUGGUAGUUCACGCCCUAAACGAUAUGAACUGGAUGUGGGGGAAUCUUGUCACCCAGUGUGCAAGUUAACGAGUUAACUUUGCUCCUUGGGGAGUACGGUGCCAAGAUUGAAAUUCAAAGAAAUUGAGGGGGGCCCGCACAAGCGGUGGAGUAUGUGGUUUAUUUGGAUGCACGGCGAAGACCCUUACAUGCUCUUGACAUCCACUGAAGUUUCCAGAGAUUGAUUGUUUCCUUUUGGAACGGUUAGACAGCUGGUGCAUGACUGUUGUCAUCUCGUGUUGUGAGAUGUUGGGUUAAGUACCGCAACGAGCGCAACCAUCCUCCUUAUUUGCCAGCACCUAAUGGUGGGAACUUUAAAGAGGCCGCCGGGGACAAACCGGAGGAAAAGGGGGGGAAGGUCAAGUCAUCAUGUGCCCUAUGACCAGGGCUACACACGUGUUACAAUGGUAUGGACACAGUGCUGCAAACCCGCGAGGGGAGCCAAUCCCAGAAACCCUAUCUCAGUCCGGAUUGGAGUCUGCAACUCGACUCCAUGAAGUCGGAAUCGCUAGUAAUCGCAGAUCAGCAUUGCUCGGGGAAAUACUUUCCCGGCCUUGUACCCCCCCCCCGUCCCCCCCAGGGAGUUUGUUUUACCCGAAGUCAGUGAGCUAACCUUAAGGAGGCAGCUUACCACGGUAGGGUCAGAUGACUGGGGUGAAGUCGAACAA